GUAUUAGGGUUUUAAAGGCAAUAAAUGCCCAACAUAACAUUCUUUGUCAUACAUUUGUGAAAAAGACAUAGACCAAAAAGACAGGCAAAGGAAAGCUGGCCCUUUUUUGUAUGAAGGCAGCAGCAACCCCUUCAACCGAGUUUGACCUCGGAAAGGUAGUCCCCAAAAGUCUACAGAAGGUGCACAGGUGGUAAAAGAAGUUGGUGCCAGGCGUGCACAUGCCCCCUUUCGGGAACCAGCAUCAACCCGACCAAGUUCAUUCAAUAAUGAUCCUUCCGCAGGUUCACCUACGGAAA
rnacentral:misc_RNA from 1 species